rnacentral:rRNA from 1 species
GACGGAGGGGGCAAGCGUUGUUCGGAAUUAUUGGGCGUAAAGGGCUCGUAGGCGGAUCUGUAAGUCUGACGUGAAAUCUCCACUGCUCAACAGGGAGAGGUCGCUGGAUACUGCAGAUCUGGAGUUCGGCAGAGGACCAUGGAAUUCCAGGUGUAGCGGUGAAAUGCGUAGAUAUCUGGAGGAACACCGGUGGCGAAGGCGGCGUUCUGGACUGCUACUGACACUGAUGAACGAAAGCCAGGGGAGCAAACAGG